rnacentral:lncRNA from 1 species
AGGGUUACUAAAGUGUCAAGAACAUCUAAUAACAAGGUUAUAGUGGAAGUUGAAGGGGGAACCAACUUCGUUGCUGAUGCUGUGAUCAUCACUGUGCCCAUCGGUGUUCUCAAGGCAAACCUGAUUCAGUUUGAGCCGGAGCUCCCACAAUGGAAGACCUCUGCGAUAUCUGAUCUUGGAGUAGGCAACGAGAAUAAGAUUGCCCUGAGAUUUGAAAACGUGUUUUGGCCCAAUGUGGAGUUCCUGGGGAUGGUUGCACCAACUUCUUACUCCUGUGGCUAUUUUCUGAAUCUUCACAAAGCAACAGGCCAUCCUGUGCUUGUUUAUAUGGCUGCAGGAAACCUCGCUAAGGACCUUGAAAAGCUAUCCGAUGAGGCUACUGCAAAUUUCGUAAUGCUGCAACUUAAGAAAAUGUUUCCCGACGCACCUGACCCGGUAAGAAAUCAUCAUCUUAUUGCACAAUAUUUCUCUGUUUCUUCAAUGGAUAAGAAGAUUUCGUUUACCGAUGAGCUUCCUGAUGGUAAUUGAGAUUAUGCAUUGCGGUUUCAAGAUUAAAUCGAAUCUGUUUAUGCGGUGUUUAUUUGGUUUAUGCUUUUGUCAUUGUUGCCUGAUACAACAAUCUUUUUUUAUUUAAUUUGGAAAGAGAUUUGAUGAAUGAUUAAUUGUAACAUGUGUUUCUUGCAGGCACAAUCUCAGCGCUUCUCCAGAAGCAGAACAAUGUGGUGCAGCCAUGUGUGAUCGUGAUAGGCAGUGGCAUAUCAGGUCUGGCUGCUGCUAGGAGCCUCUCUGAAGCUUCUUUUAACGUGAUUGUUCUCGAAUCACGUGAUAGGAUUGGUGGUCGCAUCCAUACCGAUUACUCCUUUGGUUGUCCUGUUGAUAUGGGAGCUUCUUGGUGAGUUUCUAUUUUUUAAGGAUCUGCAGCCCUUAUGAUUUGUUGUUCUAAUAACCCACGUUGUCUUAGGUUACAUGGAGUCUCCAACGACAACCCCUUGGCUCCUAUUAUACGCCGUCUAGGGCUCACUCUAUACCGAACUAGCGGGGAUGACUCCAUCUUGUAUGACCAUGAUCUCGAAAGGUAACCUUUUCCUGCCUUUACGCCGUACUAAUCUUUGAAGAAAUCGCUAGACCCUAGCUAGUUAAAAGGCUAGACAGACAGAACCAAUUUGUGGAUUUGUACUAACACUAAUAGUUAGCUAAUUUAGACCAAUCUAAACCGAUUUAGAAUGUUUUAAACCGAUUCAAAAAGGUUUAAACCGGAUUGAGUCGUAUAAAUCAAAUUUUAAAAGAUCUUUUAGCCGAUUUACCCACCAAGCACCGCCUAGACUGAUUUUUAGAACCAUGGUACAUGCUAUAACUAGAUGGGUUUCAGUCUGAAACCUGUUGUAACCCAAUUGCCCUGUUUAACUGGCUUUCCUACCUCAGUUAUGGACUUUAUGACAUGCACGGGAAUAAAAUUCCGCCGCUGUUGGUCACUCAAGUUGGAGAUGCAUUCAAGAGAAUUCUCGAAGAGGUAAGCUUUGCAUUUGCUUGAUUAAAUUUUUGAAUUAGCAUCCUUUUGUCGUAAUAACAGAAGUUGACACAUGCUUGCUUACCUUGCUGAUUUCUAGACGGAGAAAAUAAGGGAUGAAACUGCCAAUGACAUGUCAGUUCUUCAAGGAAUAUCCAUCGUCUUGGAUAGACAUCCAGAACUAAGGCAAGAAGGAAUUGCCUACGAAGUUUUGCAAUGGUACAUAUGUAGGAUGGAAGCAUGGUUUGCCGUAGAUGCGAAUUUGAUAUCGCUCAAAUGUUGGGAUCAGGCAAGCGAACCAAUUCUACUGUACAUUUAUAAACUAUCUGCCUACUGUAACUUCAUGUAGUAGUUCUAAGGAUGGUCUAUAUAUGAAUAGUUUUAAUUUGUUUAUUAGUGAUAGCAAUACACUAAAGAAAAAAAGCUCAUCAAAGCUUUUUAAUUGUUGUGCAGGAUGAAUGUCUUUCCGGUGGCCAUGGUCUAAUGGUGCAGGGUUAUGAGCCAGUGAUCAGAACAAUUGCAAAAGACAUUGAUAUUCGCUUGAACCACAGGUAACUCAUCAGAAUUCAUACAGAGCUAAUACAUGUAUCGUACUUAAAACAGUUAAACCUUAUCACGUGUGUUUUCUAAUUUAAUUAACUCAGGGUUACUAAAGUGUCAAGAACAUCUAAUAACAAGGUUAUAGUGGAAGUUGAAGGGGGAACCAACUUCGUUGCUGAUGCUGUGAUCAUCACUGUGCCCAUCGGUGUUCUCAAGGCAAACCUGAUUCAGUUUGAGCCGGAGCUCCCACAAUGGAAGACCUCUGCGAUAUCUGAUCUUGGAGUAGGCAACGAGAAUAAGAUUGCCCUGAGAUUUGAAAACGUGUUUUGGCCCAAUGUGGAGUUCCUGGGGAUGGUUGCACCAACUCCUUACUCCUGUGGCU